GCGGCCAAUUAGCUCCCUGCCCCCUUUCCUGUGGGGGAGGAAAGCGGGCAAGAUGGAGGUGGGGUCUACUUCUUCUUUUUUUUUUUUUUUUCUCGGAGUGAAAUGAAGGAGACACACGGAAGGGGAGGUCUCUUCUGAUCUGACAUCGUCAUAAAGGAAUCCCCUGAAAUGGGUUCAGCCCCGCCCACUUGCUUAUUCUCACCCCAUCCGGCUUCCCAGACACACUCGCCUUCUCACAUGCUCGUGUCUGCACCGCUCACAGAGGAGGAGGGAGACAGAGAGAGAGAGAGAGAGACGGGAAGGAGAGGGGACGAGUGAGAGAGAGGGAGAGCGAGAGGCCGACAUCUGUGUAGUUGAGCCACAUCACUGGAGAGCAUGGUGAGAGUCAACGGGAGAGAGACCAAAGACAGGAGUAACAAAAGUUCUCUCAGAUGCGGCGUCGACGACGGCGACGACGUUUCCCGUCGCAGGCCGUCUCUGUUGACCAGGGGAAUUCCUGGCAGAGUGAUUUUGGAGACUAAAUACUGAAUCACAUUGCCAGGGAUUUCCAAUGGCUGGCAUGAGGAAUGCGACGCGCUCGCUCACCUUUCUGAUUGGCUCACUCACACAAAAACUCACACUCCUCUUUUGCUCCCGGCACCCGGCCGUGCGGCGGCAGGACUUAGCGCACAUGUGAACAGAGUCUGCCAUGUUCACAGUGGUUAAGUUCUGUCGCCACAGGGCUGCAAACUGCUAGUGGUUGGAGGAAAGGUCAAGGUCGCGGGUUUACAUCAGCAGAGGGAAACUGAAAUUUUGGAUUUUAGAUUUAAAGAACACAUAGUUUUUUUUUGUUUUUUUGCUUUUUAAUAAUGUGCAUUAUUUUGCUUCUUGAAAAAUAUUGCGCUUGUGUGAAGCAAGCGUGAUUCCGGGAGAUGUUGUGCAUGUGCAUGUAAGUCAUGCUGGUGGAUUAAGAAAAGGGGCAUGAAAAUGAUACAAAUCAAUCUGUUCAAAUGGAAAUUUUGUUUUAAAUUUUACAUUUUAUUCCAAAGCUGAUGUAUAAUGACCAGCAAUAAAGGCCUCCCUCAUUACACCUCUGCUCUCUGAUAUGUUCAUAUGAUAAUAUGUCUUCUAAACCAUUUUCAACCACAGCAAAAUACAACAUUGGUGUUGAAAAAAUGUGCCCCUUGGAUUUAGUUACACAUCUAUAUAUAUAUUUCUUGUGCAUGUCCCUACUCAGUUGCGCGUUGCUGUAAAAUGCCGACAGAGCUUGUGAAACAAUUCAUAUAUUGAAGGGUCAAAAAUAAAAAUAAAAACCUCUUGUGCCUAUUCAUCGCACUGGUUGGAGUGUUGCGUGUGUAUGACGGAUGACUCACCAUUGUGUUAUGACAAUGUCAGCGCGCUGCACCCAGCUCACGGGAGAUGGUAUAAUGCCGUCUGCUAAUAACUGCUAAUCUGUUGAAAAAGCAAAAUGUCAUCAGCUCCCUCAUCACUCUCUAAAGGACACUGUGAAACGUCGGAAUUGCUUUUUUUUUUUGCUCUGAUUAUGCUUCGCCUUUGAAUUUCUGUAGCAAUUAGUUUUACCUGAAUAAUAUAUACAUAUAUAUCUUUGUUUAUAUUAGUAUAAACACAAUACUGGACCGGUCUCCUGUGCCUGCUGUGCUGAUAAUCAGUGUGUGACGUCGGCUGGCUCAGUUCAGCAGGAACAGGGGCCUGUAGUCUCAUUUACGCUCACUUCCUUAUGCCUGUACACCGGAGGUGCAGUCUAUGCACAUGUUCUAUUGAAGUGACUUGUUUGUUCGUUGAUGUCUGCUUGAUUAAAUGGAUGUGAUUAAGAAUUAAAAUCUUUUUGGUGA